UUCGUAGGGUGCGAGCGUUAAUCGGAAUUACUGGGCGUAAAGCGUGCGCAGGCGGUUUUGUAAGUCAGAUGUGAAAUCCCCGAGCUCAACUUGGGAACUGCGUUUGAAACUACAAGACUAGAAUAUGUCAGAGGGGGGUAGAAUUCCACGUGUAGCAGUGAAAUGCGUAGAGAUGUGGAGGAAUACCAAUGGCGAAGGCGACUCACUGGACACAUAUUGACGCUGAGGUGCGAAAGCGUGGGGAGCAAACAGG
rnacentral:rRNA from 1 species